AAAUAAGUGGCCCAGUACAAGCCCAAAUUCUAGUCUAAACACCUGAUAGCCCAACUGGCCUAAACCAAGAGGCCCAAUUACAGUGGCCCGAUACCCCUAGCCCAGAAUUGAAACAGCAGAAACCCUAGGGUUUUUGGGGUCUUCAGCCGCCGCCUUCCGCGAGCCACUCCCUACGCACGUAGCACCACUCGCACGCGGCCGCGCCCAUCCGUACAUGCCACGCCCCAGACCCUGCACUCCGUACCUGCAAAAGACUCACAAACCAACAACGCAGCAGACUCCAAUAACAUACAAAAAGGAGCAGAGAGAGAAAAUGAAAAGGGACAAAACGGGGUGAUAUUUUUGAUUUUGUCAUUAUAUCUUGUAAAUAGACUAUAAAAGACAGGAAUAGGUUGUAACCUUUAUCUUUUUUUGCAAUCAGAAUACAAAAACACAAAAAAAGGUGAUUUCUGGAUUCACCCUCUCCUUUUUGUUCUUCUACGCAGUUUUUUUUUCUUUUUUCUUUUGUGUGUUUACUAAAGAAAAUAAAAGCAGUAAGAAGGAAGGCUUACCUCUCGACCGGACCUGUUGCUCCUUCUCCGUUGUCAUCGGAGUCUGGGGCGUGGUUUGGAGAGCCUCUGAAUGAGGCGAUGAACUGUCGAGCGGCGCCGAGAGGGAGAGAGAGCUUUUAGUUUUUUUUAAAAGAGGUAAAAUGUUAGGUUAGGUUUUUU
rnacentral:lncRNA from 1 species